rnacentral:snRNA from 1 species
GAACUCAGAGCAGGCACAG